UACGUAGGGUGCGAGCGUUUAAUCGGAAUUACUGGGCGUAAAGCGUGCGCAGGCGGUUCGUUGUGUCGGCGGUGAAAGCCCCGGGCUCAACCUGGGAAUGGCCGUUGAAACUGGCGAACUGGAGUGUGGCAGAGGGGGGUGGAAUUCCGCGUGUAGCAGUGAAAUGCGUAGAGAUGCGGAGGAACACCGAUGGCGAAGGCAGCCCCCUGGGCUGACACUGACGCUCAGGCACGAAAGCGUGGGGAGCAAACAGG
rnacentral:rRNA from 1 species